rnacentral:rRNA from 1 species
UUCGCAUGUUUCUUUCUUGAAAGAUUUAUCGCUAUGAGAUGGACCCGCGUCUGAUUAGCUAGUUGGUAAGGUAACGGCUUACCAAGGCGACGAUCAGUAGCCGGCUUGAGAGAGUGAACGGCCACAUUGGGACUGAGACACGGCCCAAACUCCUACGGGAGGCAGCAGUGGGGAAUAUUGCACAAUGGGGGAAACCCUGAUGCAGCGACGCCGCGUGAGUGAAGAAGUAUUUCGGUAUGUAAAGCUCUAUCAGCAGGGAAGAUAAUGACGGUACCUGACUAAGAAGCCCCGGCUAACUACGUGCCAGCAGCCGCGGUAAUACGUAGGGGGCAAGCGUUAUCCGGAUUUACUGGGUGUAAAGGGUGCGUAGGUGGCAAGGCAAGUCAGAUGUGAAAGCCCGGGGCUCAACCCCGGUACUGCAUUUGAAACUGUCUAGCUAGAGUGCAGGAGAGGUAAGCGGAAUUCCUAGUGUAGCGGUGAAAUGCGUAGAUAUUAGGAGGAACACCAGUGGCGAAGGCGGCUUACUGGACUGUAACUGACACUGAGGCACGAAAGCGUGGGGAGCAAACAGGAUUAGAUACCCUGGUAGUCCACGCCGUA